UGGGGGAUAUUGCACAAUGGGCGAAAGCCUGAUGCAGCGACGCCGCGUGGGGGAUGAAGGCCUUCGGGUUGUAAACUUCUUUUGCUCUGAACAAGGCAUGCCUUUGGGGUGUGUUGAGUGUAGGGGUUGAUUAGCGCCGGCUAACUACGUGCCAGCAGCCGCGGUAAUACGUAGGGCGCGAGCGUUGUCCGGAAUUAUUGGGCGUAAAGGGCUUGUAGGUGGCUGGUUGCGUCUGUCGUGAAAGCUCAUGGCUUAACUGUGGUUUUGCGGUGGGUACGGGCUGGCUUGAGUGCAGUAGGGGAGGCUGGAAUUCCUGGUGUAGCGGUGGAAUGCGAAGAUAUCAGGAGGAAUACCGGUGGCGAAGGCGGGUCUCUGGGCUGUUACUGACGCUGAGGAGCGAAAGCGUGGGGAGCGAACAGG
rnacentral:rRNA from 1 species